GGAGUCUUGGUAUUUUUAAUUGCCCUCAUAAUUUUUAUUACCAGUUAUGAGUAUCCUGGGUGACUAUGUCAUAGACCAAGAAAAUAACCUCUGAACAGAAUAUGCCAAGAGUGAAGUGGGCUGGGGCAUUUCAUUUCUAAAAGUACACAUGGCAUGGAGUCAGCAGCUUCACGCUGGGAAGUGCCCGAGAAAAGGGGAGGAGCGAUGCACCCCUGGCCUGCUGAGAGGAGUCUGUGCCAGCCUCACUUCUGAUGCCUCACAGCUCUCUGACACGAUUGCAUCCCCCAGAUGCCUCACGGAGAAAAUGUGAAUUUGGGACUGGUGACACGUCAAUUAAUUUCACAACACCGGAAAGCACACUCAGGAUGCUGGUCUUAUCACGUGUUGGAUCUCACUGGAUUAGCUGUUUUCCCUCCAGUGGCUGGAGCCUAGGACCAUCCUGGAUGGCAGCAUCUCAGACUCAGAAUAGUGCAGCAACAGGGAAAGCUAUUCAAAAAGUAUAUCCAGUGGGAAGAGAGUUCUCAAAAAAUUGUAUAUACACUAUUAUUAUAACAGCAUGAUAUUAUGUCUGUGGGGCAGGGCACGGGGAGAUGUUUAUUGCAAAUGUAUUUUGGUCAGGUUUAGGAAUUUAUACUUUAAAAAGCCAACUUUUAAGUGCAUAUUUUAAUGAGUUUUGAGAAAUGAAUACAAUUGCAUAGCCAAGAUGCAGAAAAUUUUCACCACCUAGAAAAGUAUGCUUGGUGUCUAUUGUUCCCUUCUUUAUGUCCAUGUGUGCUCUAUGUUUAGUUCCCACUUAUAAGUGAGAAUAUGUGGUAUUUGGUUUUCUGUUUCUGUCUUAAUUUGCUUAGGCUUGCAGCCAUUAUCCUGAAAGGACAUAAUUUUGUUAUUUUAUAGCUGUGUAGUAUUCCAUGGUAUAUAUGUACCUCAUUUUCUUUAUUCAGUCCACUACUGAUGGGCAUCUAGGCUGAUUCCAUGUCUUUGCUAUUGUAAAUAGUGCUGUGAUCAACAUAUGCACGCAUAUGUCUUUGCCGUGGAAUGAUCUAUAUCUCUUUGGGUAUAUACGCAAAAUGGGAUGGCUAGGCUGAAGGGUAUUUCUGUCUUAAGUUCCUUGAGAAAUCUCCAAACUGCUUUCCAUGGUGGCUGAACUACUUUACAUUCCCACCAGCAGUGUAUAAACGAGCCGUAUUCUCUGCAACCUUACCAGAAUCUGUUGUUUUUUGAACUUUUAAUAGUAGCCAUUCUGACUGGUGUGAGAUGAUAUCUCAUUGUGGUUUUUAAUUUGCAUUUCUCUAAUGAUUAAUGAUGUUGAGUAUUUUUUCAUCUGCUUGUUGGCUGAGUGUAUGUCUUCAUUUGAGAAGUGUC
rnacentral:lncRNA from 1 species